UUCAUUCUUGCUCCAAGAGCAAUAUGCCUUGGACCAAUUCGGUUGCCUGUGUUGUAUACCUACGUUGAUGGAAUUCGCUCGUCCAAUCACUUUUUAUUCACCUUGUGCUGCUUACGCGGUGCAGGAUGAACCAUGCAGUGUCCUUUGUUGGGCAUUCUUGCCUUGCGUUCGCGCGAUGCAGGAAAUGGCCAAUGUCUGACACUCGAAUUCUCGGAUACGGAACCUUAAGCGGGCAACGGGUCUUUGGCCUUGAUUUGCCCAAACUAAGUUCUUACGAACGACUGUCGUGCCCGUUUUGACCUGAGGAUGCUUUUGGUCCGAC
rnacentral:misc_RNA from 1 species